rnacentral:misc_RNA from 1 species
GACGCCGCUCGCCGUCGCCGGCGAACUAAUGUCGAAUCCGACGUGGUUCGCAGCCGGGAAGAUCCACGACGCCUUGGCUCGGAUGGAUAACGAUUAUUUGAGGUCGGCUUUGGACUAUCUCGAGAUUCAGCCAAACAUAUCGGCGUUGGUCCGUGGUGCUCAUACUUUCCGGUGCCCCAAUUUGGGGAUCACGAGCUGGGUCAGACUGCCGAUUCACGACGCCGAUUUCGGGUGG